ACAUAUAUACAUAUAUCCCCUCCCAUUUGAAUCUCCCUCCGACCGACCUCCCCAUCCCACUCCUCUAGGUUGAUACAGAGCCCCUGUUUGAGUUUC